rnacentral:tRNA from 1 species
GGAGAGGUGUCCGAGUGGCUUAAGGAGCACGCCUGGAAAGUGUGUAUACGGCUUAUACCCGUAUCGAGGGUUCGAAUCCCUCCCUCUCCG